rnacentral:rRNA from 1 species
UCUGGUUAAUCCUGCCAGAGGUUACUGCUAUCGAGGUUCGACUAAGCCAUGCGAGUCGAAUGUAGCAAUACAUGGCGAACUGCUCAGUAACACGUGGACAACCUGCCCUUAGGUUGGGUAUAAACCCGGGAAACUGGGUAUAAUACCCGAUAGGUCUCGAUUGCUGGAAUGCAUCGAGAUUUAAAGCUCCGGCGCCUAAGGAUGGGUCUGCGGCCUAUCAGGUAGUAGUGGGUGUAGCGUACCUACUAGCCUACGACGGGUACGGGUUGUGAGAGCAAGAGCCCGGAGAUGGAUUCUGAGACACGAAUCCAGGCCCUACGGGGUGCAGCAGGCGCGAAAACUUUACAAUGCUGGCAACAGCGAUAAGGGAACCUCGAGUGCCAGGUUACAAAUCUGGCUGUCGAGAUGCCUAAAAAGCAUUUCAUAGCAAGGGCCGGGCAAGACCGGUGCCAGCCGCCGCGGUAACACCGGCGGCUCGAGUGGUAACCGUUAUUAUUGGGUCUAAAGGGUCUGUAGCCGGCCGGAUAAGUCUCUUGAGAAAUCUGGCAGCUUAACUGUCAGGCUUUCAGGAGAUACUGUCUGGCUCGAGGCCGGGAGAGGUGAGAGGUACUUCAGGGGUAGGGGUGAAAUCUUGUAAUCCUUGAAGGACCACCAGUGGCGAAGGCGUCUCACCAGAACGGACCUGACGGCAAGGGACGAAAGCUAGGGGCACGAACCGGAUUAGAUACCCGGGUAGUCCUAGCCGUAAACGAUACUCGCUAGGUGUCGGCCACGGUGCGACCGUUGUCGGUGCCGUAGGGAAGCCGUGAAGCGAGCCACCUGGGAAGUACGGCCGCAAGGCUGAAACUUAAGGAAUUGGCGGGGAGCACACAACGGGUGAGCUGCGUUUAUGAUUCACGCGGAGACUGUCUGCAGCGCGCCAU